rfam:Hordeum vulgare subsp. vulgare, WGS project CAJW01000000 data, contig: morex_contig_160812
GCUAGGGAGAGGAAGAAAGAGAGGGCCUAAAAGCAAUGGGAAUGAGAACAUAGAGGAAAAACUAAUCGGUUCUUCACCUCUUGUGUUGAGUUGUAAAUCCUGCUUGGUAUUUCCCAAUGCCUUUCAUUCCUAUCGUUCUUAAGCGCCUCCUUCCUCUUUCUUUUUGUU